GGGUUGUAGUUUAAAUGGGAAGAACAAAUUCUCUCAGUGAAUAUACGUGUCGGGUUCGAAUCCUGACCAACCCACCA
rnacentral:tRNA from 1 species